ACGUAUGUCACAAGCGUUAUCCGGAUUUAUUGGGCGUAAAGCGCGUCUAGGUGGUUAUGUAAGUCUGAUGUGAAAAUGCAGGGCUCAACUCUGUAUUGCGUUGGAAACUGUGUAACUAGAGUACUGGAGAGGUAAGCGGAACUACAAGUGUAGAGGUGAAAUUCGUAGAUAUUUGUAGGAAUGCCGAUGGGGAAGCCAGCUUACUGGACAGAUACUGACGCUGAAGCGCGAAAGCGUGGGUAGCAAACAG
rnacentral:rRNA from 1 species